rnacentral:lncRNA from 1 species
CAUAACACGUUUGAUAUGAGAGACCACGUUCCCCGUAGGGUUCCCUAUGGACCCGGUUCGUCCACCAUCUCCCAAGAUAUCUAGUUAGGCUAUCGACAUUAUCCAUUUAUCAAUUCACAUACUUUUUUUUUAUUUUUUUUAAUCACAAUUAUCCAAUCAAACAUAAACACGUACACUAGUAAUGGACACCAAACAAGGCAACACAACAUCGGGUU